rnacentral:ncRNA from 1 species
AAAUAACCGUCACCGGGCGGUCAGGUAUUGCCAAAUCUCAUUAGGUCAUUGAAGAGAUUUAGCGAUACCUUUUUUAUUU